UGUGCGCCUCUCUCUCAAGGACUUUGUGGCUAAUGUUGCCAUUAAGUCAUGCAAAACUGUUUGUCUUUGUGGAGGCCUGUGAUGAAUCUUCCUGAGUGUGAAAGAGGGGUUGAUUUAAUGUUUAUUUCUUCUCUUUGUCCCCCCCGCUCCCUUCUCUCUCUCUUUCUGCCAGGUUUAUUAACGCCAGAAGAAGAAUAGUACAACCCAUGAUUGACCAGUCAAAUCGAGCAGGUUUUCUUCUUGAUCCUUCAGUGAGCCAAGGAGCAGCGUACAGUCCAGAGGGCCAGCCAAUGGGCAGCUUCGUGCUGGAUGGUCAGCAACACAUGGGGAUCCGACCAGCUGGGCCUAUGAGUGGAAUGGGGAUGAAUAUGGGCAUGGAUGGGCAAUGGCACUACAUGUAACCUCCAUCUUGUAACGCAAAGAAAAAGGGGGAAGUCUGCCAGUCAUGCCAGGGGAGUUCGUACCUCAGAGAAGUCCUAUGGGCAUGAGCAUGGGCCCACCCACCUACUCCAACCCUCAUCAGAUGCCUUCUCACCCGUCGCAGCUCAGACCCGGACCACCACCUCGCCAUGCAUACCUUACCGAUCAUCCCCACGCUCCCCACACCAUGCUGAUGCACGGAGGACCCUCGUUGCACCCAGGAAUGACCAUGUCUGCACAGAGACCCCCUUUGCUCUCACCCAUUGACCCCAGUACUGGAGGAUAUGGCCUGGACAUCCACGCCCAAUAGUAAAGGGACGAAAACAGCAGCUACGACAAGAAACAUUUCCAAAAAUAAGUAAAAAACAAGGAGAGAAAAAGAAGAAAGCAGCCCCACUAUAAAUCCUAUUUUGAGACUAUUUUUAAGAAUAAAAGUGAACCCUUUUGACCAGAAUUUGACACUAAAGAAGCAGAAUUCCAGACGAGCUGUGAUUCUUUUUUUUUUUUUAAAUAAAAAAAUAUUGUCAAUUUUGUUACUUUCAACAAAAAAAAAAAAAAAAAAAAAAAAAAAAAAAGAUGGAGGACCAAGCUGACAAGAACACUUUGUAAAGUCUUGGGCUUUUGGUAAAGAUCAACACGAAAUGUUUUGACAUAUUAAAAAGUAAAAAGCAAAAAAAACAACAAAAAAAAAAACAACA